rnacentral:sRNA from 1 species
CCAGGUGGCGGAGGAGAGCCCGGAGCUGCUGAACCCUGAGCCCAGGAGACUGAGCCCAGAGUUGAGGCUACUGCCCUAUGUGAUCACUCUGGGCGAUGCCGUGCACAACUUCGCCGACGGGCUGGCCGUGGGCGCCGCCUUCGCGUCCUCCUGGAAGACCGGGCUAGCCACCUCGCUGGCCGUGUUCUGCCACGAGUUGCCACACGAGCUGGGGGACUUCGCCGCCUUGCUGCACGCGGGGCUGUCCGUGCGCCAAGCUCUGCUGCUGAACCUGGCCUCCGCGCUCACGGCCUUCGCUGGUCUCUACGUGGCACUCGCGGUUGGAGUCAGCGAGGAGAGCGAGGCCUGGAUCCUGGCAGUGGCCACCGGCCUGUUCCUCUACGUAGCACUCUGCGACAUGCUCCCGGCGAUGUUGAAAGUACGGGACCCGCGGCCCUGGCUCCUCUUCCUGCUGCACAACGUGGGCCUGCUGGGCGGCUGGACCGUCCUGCUGCUGCUGUCCCUGUCCUAGGCCCGUGCCUGAUCCAGGAUCCAAGCUCCUGGAAGCUGGCACUGGGCCCGCCCUGGGUAGGCAGCAGUGAGCAAGGCCGGCGGACAGCGCUGGGCUCGCGGGGUCCUGCGUCCUCCGCGGGAGUGUUGGCGGCGGGGGUCGCUCUGCGCGGGGACACUGGGCAGAGGGGGCGU